AAAAUAGUUAUAGAUCGAGUAGGUCCGAAAAUACAGAAAUACAAAAUUUGUCAAAAAGUCUACAAAAUGUUGGAAGCCAUUCUAUUUUUUCUGUGCAGUAGCAUAUUAUAUUUCCUCGCCCGUGUCGAAGAACCACCCGCAGGCGGAGGUUUUCUCUUGUGCCGACAUAUAGUCCUAUAUACGGUAGCCGCGGGUUUCGUCUUUAUGCAUCGCUGAGCUGUAAAAGGAAUAUGGCAAACGUCUUUGUGUUUUUUUGAAAAAGAUGUACAUGUUUAUUGAAAAAUUUGAAAUCAAGCAAAAUUAAUCAAAGAACAAUUGCAAGUGAAAUGAACAAAAUAAAAUAAUGAUGAUGUGAAGCUCAAGUUCCAAUGCAGUUGGUAUAAAAAUGCGCAGACAAACAACAACCAGUGGAAACCAAGGCGUGGACUAGGCGUGAGUGUACUAACUAUGAUGAACCUUAAAAUUCGAUGACUACUUGGCUUGGCGCCGUCUUGGGGUUGGUGUGGUAGGUGUGCCGGUUGGCGGUUUUAUCUAAAUGGUACAAAAAUAAACAAAACAAAAAAAAGGCGGUAUAUUA